ACCAGACUCUCUGCUUUGAAGAUGGGACACUUUGGCGUACUUACUACCAUCACUCGAUGUGUGAACAGGAGUUUCCAUCAAUUCUCGCAAAGAAAGUUUCCUUAUUUCAGCAGGUUCUUGUAGUUCAGGCUCUGCGGCCAGACAGACUGCAGAGUGCCAUGGCUCUGUUUGCCUGCAAGGCUCUGGGGUUAAAGGAGUUAUCCCCUCUUCCUCUGAACCUCAAACGCUUAUACAAGGAGACACUUGAGAUUGAGCCCAUUUUGAUCAUAAUCUCUCCGGGGGCUGACCCUUCUCAGGAACUUCAGGAACUUGCUAAUGCUGAAAGAAGCAGUGAGUGUUAUCACCAGGUUGCCAUGGGUCAAGGUCAAGCUGAUUUAGCAAUUCAGAUGCUAAAAGAAUGCGCCCGAAAUGGAGACUGGCUCUGUUUGAAGAACUUACAUCUCGUAGUGUCUUGGCUUCCAGUUCUGGAGAAGGAAUUGAAUACUCUUCAACCUAAAGAAAGCUUUCGUCUCUGGCUCACUGCAGAAGUUCAUCCCAACUUUACUCCCAUAUUACUCCAAUCAAGUCUAAAGAUAACAUAUGAGUCACCUCCAGGUUUGAAGAAGAAUUUGAUGCGCACUUAUGAGUCUUGGACUCCUGAGCAAAUUAGCAAAAAAGAUAAUAUACACCGAGCUCAUGCUCUUUUUAGCUUAGCAUGGUUUCAUGCUGCCUGUCAAGAAAGAAGAAAUUUUAUUCCACAGGGUUGGACCAAGUUUUACGAGUUUUCCUUAUCAGAUCUUCGGGCUGGGUACCACGUCAUUGACAGGCUCUUCGAUGGUUCCAAAGAUGUACAGUGGGAAUUUGUACAUGGCUUACUUGAAAAUUCUAUUUAUGGAGGACGUAUAGAUAA
rnacentral:lncRNA from 1 species